AUACGAAGGUGGCUAGCGUUGUUCGGAAUCACUGGGCUUAAAGCGCAUGUAGGCGGCUUUGCAAGCGUCUUGUGAAAUCCCCCGGCUCAACCGGGGAACUGCUGGGCGAACUGCAAGGCUUGAGGCAAGUAGGGGUGCGUGGAACUCUUGGUGGAGCGGUGAAAUGCGUAGAUAUCAAGAGGAACGCCGGAGGCGAAAGCGGCGCACUGGGCUUGUCCUGACGCUGAGAUGCGAAGGCCAGGGGAGCGAACGGGAUUAGAUACCCCGGUAGUCCUGGCAGUAAACGAUGCCUACUAGGUUGGAGGCCUUUUGACGGGCUUCCGGCCGUAACUAAAGCGUUAAGUAGGCCGCCUGGGGAGUACGGUCGCAGGGCUAAA
rnacentral:rRNA from 1 species